CGGGUGAGUAACACGUGGAUAACCUACCUAUAAGACUGGGAUAACUUCGGGAAACCGGAGCUAAUACCGGAUAAUAUAUUGAACCGCAUGGUUCAAUAGUGAAAGACGGUUUUGCUGUCACUUAUAGAUGGAUCCGCGCCGCAUUAGCUAGUUGGUAAGGUAAUGGCUUACCAAGGCAACGAUGCGUAGCCGACCUGAGAGGGUGAUCGGCCACACUGGAACUGAGACACGGUCCAGACUCCUACGGGAGGCAGCAGCC
rnacentral:rRNA from 1 species